ACAAUCAAAUCAAUUUAAUUAAUCAGUUCAUCAACUAUUAAUAAAAAUUUAGAUAUAAGUUUUAUUUUAAGAAUUGCUUAGCAAAAAUUGCAUUGAAUUCUUGUUUAUCUCUUCUUCUGUUAAACAAUGUCAACCUUUUUGUGUCCCUGUGAACAAUAUCAUAACCCCAUCAUUGUUUGCUUUGUGUCAAGUGGCAUUAGAGCCUUGUCUAGAGAUGUUUAGGCAUAAAAAAGAUAUGGAGAGAAGUUUGUCAAACACACCUACUCAACUUGAUGAUUCACAGCACAAAAGAACCUUUCAUAAUGAGUGCACGGUUAUUAGUAAGGUCAAGACAAUGCUUACUCUUUCAUAUUGAGGAAAAAGCAAAUCAUCGUACCUAACAAGGUUGAAGGAAACGCUCUAAAGCAAGAGGGAAGAGUCUUAAUUUCCAUACCAUCAAAGGAGGAUGAAUUCAAACCUAGAAUUGAUAAAAAAAAGUCAAAUAAGUGAAGGAAACUUCAAAAGAAAAUAACAUUCUCUUCAAUCUAGAUAGUGCUAAAAUCAAAGAAGGUGAUAAGAUGAUAGUUAUAAUUACUAAUCAAGAUGAAGAAAUUGAGGCAAAAAAAGAUAUAAACUCGGCUCAAGCUUGGUGCAGUGUUCAACUCGAACAAAUUGAUCUCUAUCUAAAGAAAAAUUAGCUCAUUUUCAAAAUCAACAUCUCAUCAACAUUGCUAUACAAAAACUCGUCUCACUAACAAUCUUUUUCUUCUCUAACAAUUCUUCUUCUCCAUUAAGUUUGUUUCUCUAACAAUUGUUCAACAACUCAAACAAGAUUAUUCAAUGGCUCAAGCAAGCUACACUCAAACUCGAGUUGGUCAUUUUAGAUUCAAGUGAUGUUUAAAUUGCCCCUUAUUCAAAUCUAUACCCGUAUCUAGAAUUUCCCUUGAAACAAAAUCGUCACCUCUACUUUAUAGUACUUAUAUCAGACAAACAAAACUAAGUAAAUCAAUGAAAACCUUCGCAAAACUAUAGGAACCCAAGAAAAAACUUUAUUUGUAAGACUAAAGAAAUCUCAAAGUAGUGCACGUAAUCAAUAACAGAAGGCUUAAAAAGAUUGAAGACGAUUUCAUACAACUACUUCUUUGCUUAUUAUAAGUUAGGCAAAGCUUAUCAUGCUCCACAUCAAGUAAAACAAUUUGAGUUGAACAAGCAAUUUAAUCCAAACCCACAUAUAGGUGCCUGAAUUUUGAUAUAUUCAUUCAUAAUCUCCAGUUGAUGCCUUUGCAUUUGCACUUUUUCAAUUAUCUGGUUAGCAUUUAUGUCAUCAAAAAUAAGUUAUCAACGAAAUAGAAAUAAUCAGGCAUUAUAGCACAACAGCAAGCGUUUAUAUUGUCUUCUUUUUGUUCUAGUAUGCUCAUUCUCAUAAGCGGUAAGACUCACUAUAUCUUCUCAUAACUGGGAACAGUCAUUUACAUUCUACUUUACAUUUAAGCUCAAAAAUUUGAUAGUGAAAGCAAACAUUGCAAAUAAACAAGCCAAACCAGAGGGUUCCAUAACAUGCAAUUAUUCAAUAUACAAUUCAAUUGUCAUUUUUAUUUAUUUUUAAUAAAGUUUUAAGUAUCAAUUUCAUGUAAGGAUCAUUUCUCUUGCUUUAUUUUGCCCUGAAGUGAGGUUGGUUUUACAGUUUAACUCUCAAAUGUGUGCUCGUACUUCAGGUCAAUGCUGCAAAAGAAUGGAGAAGCAGAGUUUCAAGGUAGUGAUUCCCAGGAUAUUUAGUGUAGCAGCAAGUAUCUUAGAGCUUAAUUAUGUAAAUGGUCACAGAUUUUUGCUUUAUAUUCGAAAAGGAAACCUUACCGUUGACUCGUAAAA